rnacentral:rRNA from 1 species
UAUUAAAGUUGUUGCGGUUAAAAAGCUCGUAGUCGAAUUUGUGUCCCGCGCCGCCGGUUCAUCGUACGCGGUGUUAACUGGCGUGCCGCGGGACGUCCUGCCGGUGGGCCUAAGUCCGCAAGGGCGUCGGCCCGACCCAAUCCCGCCGCGGUGCUCUUCAUUGAGUGUCGAGGUGGGCCGGCACGUUUACUUUGAACAAAUUAGAGUGCUUAAAGCAGGCUAAAACUUCGCCUGAAUACUGUGUGCAUGGAAUAAUGGAAUAGGACCUCGGUUCUAUUUUGUUGGUUUUCGGAACCCCGAGGUAAUGAUUAAUAGGAACGGAUGGGGGCAUUCGUAUUGCGACGUUAGAGGUGAAAUUCUUGGAUC